GGCACGGUGGCUUAGUGGUUAGAGCCUCACACCUCCGGGGUUGGGGGUUCGAGUCCUGCCUCUGUCC